GCCGAGGUAGCUCAGUCGGUAGAGCAGGGGACUGAAAAUCCCCGUGUGGGCGGUUCGAUUCCGUCCCUCGGCA
rnacentral:tRNA from 2 species